rnacentral:rRNA from 1 species
AACGCCGCGUGGAGGAUGAAGGUCUUCGGAUUGUAAACUCCUGUUGCUCGGGAAGAAUAGCUCCGACCUAAUACGUCGGAGUGUGACGGUACCGGGUGAGGAAGCCCCGGCUAACUCUGUGCCAGCCACCUCGGUGACUGAGCGGGCUGGCAAGGCGCAUA